GUUCGAUCUCAAAUCAGGUA
rnacentral:rRNA from 1 species